UCCGCAGAGCGAGGAUCAAGCAUAGCACACAGAAGGAAGUGUGAACCUUGGACACAGUGACAGGCUUCACCUGGGGCAAAUCAACUGUGACGCGUGGAGGCUGCUUGUCCUGCUUCCCAGGACAGGACUGUCCGGCCCUUGCCCUCACGCUGACUCUAAUUUCAUCUGUGCAGCCCCAUUCCUCUACCUUCCCUCCUCCAGCCUGAUGCUGUCUUUUUGCAAACCCGAGGAGCAUUUUGCCGGCCCCACGCAGAGAGAAAACUGCUGAGACACUUUUAAGAACCUCGGCGCCCGGGUACCACUGCCAGUUCAUUCAUUGGCCCAUGCUGCCCCCUAGUGGCCACGCGCCACACCUGCCUUGAUAGAGCCCAGGGUCCGCUGCUGCAAACUACAAGCCAGCCUGCAUCCCAAGACCCACAAGCAGGAGGAUUCAUGUCCAAAGGAGUCCCGCACCACUUUAUCAGCUUCUCUGUUUCUCGGUAUCUGCUUUCAUUCAGAUAUAUUUUUGUUUGGGUGUUGGGAUGGAAGCCAGGGUCUCAAAAACAUGAUUUAUGUAUUCAAUCCACUGUACUAUAUCCCUAGUCACCUAUAUAUACAGGACAGGGUCUCAGUACCUCUGGGUUCGAGCCCUAGAAACAUCAUCCCAGAAUAUAGGUGGAGACAGGGAAAUUCAAAGCCAAGGCAAUCGGCCGGGCGGUGGUGGCGCACGCCUUUAAUCCCAGCACUUGGGAGGCAGAGGCAGGCGGAUCUCUGUGAGUUCGAGACCAGCCUGGUCUACAAGAGCUAGUUCCAGGACAGGCUCCAAAACCACAGAGAAACCCUGUCUCGAAAAACCAAAAAAAAAAAAAAAAAAAAAAAAAAAAAAAAAAAAAAAAAAAAAAAAAAAAAAAAAAAAAAAAAAAAAAAAAAAAGAAAGAAAGAAA